rnacentral:rRNA from 1 species
GGUUAAGCGACUAAGCGUACACGGUGGAUGCCCUGGCAGUCAGAGGCGAUGAAGGACGUGCUAAUCUGCGAUAAGCGUCGGUAAGGUGAUAUGAACCGUUAUAACCGGCGAUUUCCGAAUGGGGAAACCCAGUGUGUUUCGACACACUAUCAUUAACUGAAUCCAUAGGUUAAUGAGGCGAACCGGGGGAACUGAAACAUCUAAGUACCCCGAGGAAAAGAAAUCAACCGAGAUUCCCCCAGUAGCGGCGAGCGAACGGGGAGCAGCCCAGAGCCUGAAUCAGUGUGUGUGUUAGUGGAAGCGUCUGGAAAGGCGCGCGAUACAGGGUGACAGCCCCGUACACAAAAAUGCACAUGCUGUGAGCUCGAUGAGUAGGGCGGGACACGUGGUAUCCUGUCUGAAUAUGGGGGGACCAUCCUCCAAGGCUAAAUACUCCUGACUGACCGAUAGUGAACCAGUACCGUGAGGGAAAGGCGAAAAGAACCCCGGCGAGGGGAGUGAAAAAGAACCUGAAACCGUGUACGUACAAGCAGUGGGAGCACGCUUAGGCGUGUGACUGCGUACCUUUUGUAUAAUGGGUCAGCGACUUAUAUUCUGUAGCAAGGUUAACCGAAUAGGGGAGCCGAAGGGAAACCGAGUCUUAACUGGGCGUUAAGUUGCAGGGUAUAGACCCGAAACCCGGUGAUCUAGCCAUGGGCAGGUUGAAGGUUGGGUAACACUAACUGGAGGACCGAACCGACUAAUGUUGAAAAAUUAGCGGAUGACUUGUGGCUGGGGGUGAAAGGCCAAUCAAACCGGGAGAUAGCUGGUUCUCCCCGAAAGCUAUUUAGGUAGCGCCUCGUGAAUUCAUCUCCGGGGGUAGAGCACUGUUUCGGCAAGGGGGUCAUCCCGACUUACCAACCCGAUGCAAACUGCGAAUACCGGAGAAUGUUAUCACGGGAGACACACGGCGGGUGCUAACGUCCGUCGUGAAGAGGGAAACAACCCAGACCGCCAGCUAAGGUCCCAAAGUCAUGGUUAAGUGGGAAACGAUGUGGGAAGGCCCAGACAGCCAGGAUGUUGGCUUAGAAGCAGCCAUCAUUUAAAGAAAGCGUAAUAGCUCACUGGUCGAGUCGGCCUGCGCGGAAGAUGUAACGGGGCUAAACCAUGCACCGAAGCUGCGGCAGCGACGCUUAUGCGUUGUUGGGUAGGGGAGCGUUCUGUAAGCCUGUGAAGGUGUACUGUGAGGUAUGCUGGAGGUAUCAGAAGUGCGAAUGCUGACAUAAGUAACGAUAAAGCGGGUGAAAAGCCCGCUCGCCGGAAGACCAAGGGUUCCUGUCCAACGUUAAUCGGGGCAGGGUGAGUCGACCCCUAAGGCGAGGCCGAAAGGCGUAGUCGAUGGGAAACAGGUUAAUAUUCCUGUACUUGGUGUUACUGCGAAGGGGGGACGGAGAAGGCUAUGUUGGCCGGGCGACGGUUGUCCCGGUUUAAGCGUGUAGGCUGGUUUUCCAGGCAAAUCCGGAAAAUCAAGGCUGAGGCGUGAUGACGAGGCACUACGGUGCUGAAGCAACAAAUGCCCUGCUUCCAGGAAAAGCCUCUAAGCAUCAGGUAACAUCAAAUCGUACCCCAAACCGACACAGGUGGUCAGGUAGAGAAUACCAAGGCGCUUGAGAGAACUCGGGUGAAGGAACUAGGCAAAAUGGUGCCGUAACUUCGGGAGAAGGCACGCUGAUAUGUAGGUGAAGUCCCUCGCGGAUGGAGCUGAAAUCAGUCGAAGAUACCAGCUGGCUGCAACUGUUUAUUAAAAACACAGCACUGUGCAAACACGAAAGUGGACGUAUACGGUGUGACGCCUGCCCGGUGCCGGAAGGUUAAUUGAUGGGGUCAGCGCAAGCGAAGCUCUUGAUCGAAGCCCCGGUAAACGGCGGCCGUAACUAUAACGGUCCUAAGGUAGCGAAAUUCCUUGUCGGGUAAGUUCCGACCUGCACGAAUGGCGUAAUGAUGGCCAGGCUGUCUCCACCCGAGACUCAGUGAAAUUGAACUCGCUGUGAAGAUGCAGUGUACCCGCGGCAAGACGGAAAGACCCCGUGAACCUUUACUAUAGCUUGACACUGAACAUUGAGCCUUGAUGUGUAGGAUAGGUGGGAGGCUUUGAAGUGUGGACGCCAGUCUGCAUGGAGCCGACCUUGAAAUACCACCCUUUAAUGUUUGAUGUUCUAACGUUGACCCGUAAUCCGGGUUGCGGACAGUGUCUGGUGGGUAGUUUGACUGGGGCGGUCUCCUCCUAAAGAGUAACGGAGGAGCACGAAGGUUGGCUAAUCCUGGUCGGACAUCAGGAGGUUAGUGCAAUGGCAUAAGCCAGCUUGACUGCGAGCGUGACGGCGCGAGCAGGUGCGAAAGCAGGUCAUAGUGAUCCGGUGGUUCUGAAUGGAAGGGCCAUCGCUCAACGGAUAAAAGGUACUCCGGGGAUAACAGGCUGAUACCGCCCAAGAGUUCAUAUCGACGGCGGUGUUUGGCACCUCGAUGUCGGCUCAUCACAUCCUGGGGCUGAAGUAGGUCCCAAGGGUAUGGCUGUUCGCCAUUUAAAGUGGUACGCGAGCUGGGUUUAGAACGUCGUGAGACAGUUCGGUCCCUAUCUGCCGUGGGCGCUGGAGAACUGAGGGGGGCUGCUCCUAGUACGAGAGGACCGGAGUGGACGCAUCACUGGUGUUCGGGUUGUCAUGCCAAUGGCACUGCCCGGUAGCUAAAUGCGGAAGAGAUAAGUGCUGAAAGCAUCUAAGCACGAAACUUGCCCCGAGAUGAGUUCUCCCUGACCCUUUAAGGGUCCUGAAGGAACGUUGAAGACGACGACGUUGAUAGGCCGGGUGUGUAAGCGCAGCGAUGCGUUGAGCUAACCGGUACUAAUGAACCGUGAGGCUUAACCUU